UAGGGAAUCUUCCGCAAUGGACGCAAGUCUGACGGAGCAACACCGCGUGAGUGAAGAAGGAUUUCGGUUCGUAAAACUCUGUUGUUAGAGAAGAACAGCGCAUAGAGUAACUGUUAUGCGUGUGACGGUAUCUAACCAGAAAGCCACGGCUAACUACGUGCCAGCAGCCGCGGUAAUACGUAGGUGGCAAGCGUUGUCCGGAUUUAUUGGGCGUAAAGCGAGCGCAGGCGGUCAAUUAAGUCUGAUGUGAAAGCCCCCGGCUCAACCGGGGAGGGUCAUUGGAAACUGGUUGACUUGAGUGCAGAAGAGGAGAGUGGAAUUCCAUGUGUAGCGGUGAAAUGCGUAGAUAUAUGGAGGAACACCAGUGGCGAAGGCGACUCUCUGGUCUGUAACUGACGCUGAGGCUCGAAAGCGUGGGUAGCAAACAGG
rnacentral:rRNA from 1 species